rnacentral:rRNA from 1 species
AGUGAGCGCUGGCGGUAGGCCUAACACAUGCAAGUCGAACGGCAGCACAGUAAGAGCUUGCUCUUACGGGUGGCGAGUGGCGGACGGGUGAGGAAUACAUCGGAAUCUACUUUUUCGUGGGGGAUAACGUAGGGAAACUUACGCUAAUACCGCAUACGACCUACGGGUGAAAGCAGGGGAUCUUCGGACCUUGCGCGAUUGAAUGAGCCGAUGUCGGAUUAGCUAGUUGGCGGGGUAAAGGCCCACCAAGGCGACGAUCCGUAGCUGGUCUGAGAGGAUGGUCGGCGAAGGUGGAAAUAAGGAACGGUGCAGGCUACUACGGGAGGCCGGAGUGGGGAAGUUGAGGCAGUGGGGGGAAUUCUAAACCCAGCAUAACGGGAGGGGAAAGAAGGCCUUCGGGUUUUAAAGCCCCUUUGUUGGGAAAAAAAAGCAGCAGGGUAAAACCCCGGGGUUCUGGCGGGACCCAAAAAAAAAGCACCGGCCAACUUAUU